CCUCAUUGAGAGAGGGCUAUAUAAUAAAUAAAUAAAAAUAAAAACCCCCUUUUUUUUUUUGUUUUUUAAAUUCGUAUUUUUUUUUUUUUUUUUUUUUUUUU
rnacentral:ribozyme from 1 species